rnacentral:rRNA from 1 species
AGAGUUUGAUCAUGGCUCAGAAUCAACGCUGGCGGCGCGCUUAACACAUGCAAGUCGAACGAGAAAGUGGAGCAAUCCAUGAGUAAAGUGGCGUACGGGUGAGUAACACGUGGGGAUCUACCCUUUGGUGGGGAAUAACCUGGGGAAACCUGGGCUAAUACCGCAUAAGUCCGCAAGGAGAAAGUCGCAAGACGCCGAUGGAGGAACCCGCGGCCGAUUAGCUAGUUGGUGAGGUAAAAGCUCACCAAGGCAACGAUCGGUAGCCGGCCUGAGAGGGCACACGGCCACACUGGCACUGAAACACGGGCCAGACUCCUACGGGAGGCAGCAGUGGGGAAUCUUGCACAAUGGGGGCAACCCUGAUGCAGCGACGCCGCGUGAGUGAUGAAGCCCUUCGGGGUGUAAAGCUCUUUCGACGGGGACGAUUAUGACGGUACCCGGAGAAGAAGCUGCGGCUAACUACGUGCCAGCAGCCGCGGUAAUACGUAGGCAGCGAGCGUUGUUCGGAAUUACUGGGCGUAAAGAGUGCGUAGGCGGUUCGGCCAGUCUGGUGUGAAAUCUCCCGGCUUAACUGGGAGGGUGCGCUAGAAACUGCCGGGCUAGAGUGUGGGAGAGGAAAGUGGAAUUCCUGGUGUAGCGGUGAAAUGCGUAGAUAUCAGGAGGAACACCUGCGGUGUAGACGGCUUUCUGGACCACUACUGACGCUGAGGCACGAAAGCGUGGGGAGCAAACAGGAUUAGAUACCCUGGUAGUCCACGCCCUAAACGAUGCGGACUUGGUGUGCGCCCUUCAUUGGGUGCGUGCCGGAGCUAACGCGUUAAGUCCGCCGCCUGGGGAGUACGGUCGCAAGGCUGAACUCAAAGGAAUUG